rnacentral:misc_RNA from 1 species
GAAAAUGGUAUCAUCAAUAAUUCACUAUUCCCACCUUCAUAUAUUUUACUAGAAAACCCUAAUCAAUACAAAUCCUAACUCCAAAAGCUACGCAGAACAAAUUUUUUUUGCUAACUAAUACUAAAUAAGAAUUAAAUUUACCAAUAUAAAGCAAGUACCAAAACUUAGAAACUUCAUAAACAGAUACCAAAUGUAAAUGCAGGAAAAUAGAACACAUCGGAAUUUCGAAUCUAACCUUUUCAAUACUAUAAGAUCCCAAAUAUAAAACCCAAUGCCAACUGCACUAAAUCCAAAUAAUUGACAAAAUUAAAUCAUUCAAUUACUAAAACAAAAAAAUAAAAAAAUACAACAGAGCUCAUGAAAAUGGCGAAAUUUUCCUUCCCUCAGUUUUCCCCAAAUUUCCCAGCAGCCAACUAAAAAAUAGGGUUUUGGACUAGAAUUGAUCAAUUUUGACUUUAAAAAUCACGAUCAAGGAAAUGAAGCAGAGAAAUUAAAGUGAAUUUGAUAUACCUGAGAAAGCGAGAAAAGAGAA